GAUGAACGCUGGCGGCGUGCCUAAUACAUGCAAGUCGAGCGAACAGACGAGGAGCUUGCUCCUCUGACGUUAGCGGCGGACGGGUGAGUAACACGUGGAUAACCUACCUAUAAGACUGGGAUAACUUCGGGAAACCGGAGCUAAUACCGGAUAAUAUAUUGAACCGCAUGGUUCAAUAGUGAAAGACGGUUUUGCUGUCACUUAUAGAUGGAUCCGCGCCGCAUUAGCUAGUUGGUAAGGUAACGGCUUACCAAGGCGACGAUGCGUAGCCGACCUGAGAGGGUGUUCGGCCACACUGGAACUGAGAGACGGGCCAGACUCCUACGGGAGGCAGCAGUAGGGAAUCUUCCGUAAUGGGCGAAAGCUUGACGGAGCAACGCCGCGUGAGUUAUGAAGGUCUUCAGAUCGUAAAACUCUGUUAUUAGGGAAGAACAAAUGUGUAAGUAGCUAUGCACGUCUUGACGGUACCUAAUCAGAAAGCCACGGCUAACUACGUG
rnacentral:rRNA from 1 species